GAUGAACGCUGGCGGCGUGCCUAAUACAUGCAAGUCGAGCGAACGGACGAGAAGCUUGCUUUUCUGAUGUUAGCGGCGGACGGGUGAGUAACACGUGGAUAACCUACCUAUAAGACUGGGAUAACUUCGGGAAACCGGAGCUAAUACCGGAUAAUAUUUUGAACCGCAUGGUUCAAAAGUGAAAGACGGUCUUGCUGUCACUUAUAGAUGGAUCCGCGCUGCAUUAGCUGGUUGGCAAGGUAACGGCUUACCAAGGCAACGAUGCAUAGCCGACCUGAGAGGGUGAUCGGCCACACUGGAACUGAGACACGGUCCAGACUCCUACGGGAGGCAGCAGUAGGGAAUCUUCCGCAAUGGGCGAAAGCCUGACGGAGCAACGCCGCGUGAGUGAUGAAGGUCUUCGGAUCGUAAAACUCUGUUAUUAGGGAAGAACAUAUGUGUAAGUAACUGUGCACAUCUUGACGGUACCUAAUCAGAAAGCCACGGCUAACUACGUG
rnacentral:rRNA from 1 species